UACUAGAGUAGCACUCGCAUAUCAAUAAGCGGAGGAAAAGAAACUAACAAGGAUUCCCCUAGUAACGGCGAGUGAAGCGGGAAGAGCUCAAAUUUGAAAUCUUAAAGGGUUUCCCUUUACGAAUUGUAGUUUAAAGAAGUGUUUUCUGUUGAGGUUUUGGUAAAAGUUCUUUGGAAUAGGACAUCAUAGAGGGUGAGAAUCCCGUAUUUGACCUUUACUUUCAACUUUGUGAUACACUUUCAAAGAGUCGGAUUGUUUGGGAAUGCAGUCCAAAAUGGGUGGUAAAUUUCAUCUAAAGCUAAAUAUUGGCGAGAGACCGAUAGCGAACAAGUACCGUGAGGGAAAGAUGAAAAGAACUUUGAAAAGAGAGUUAAACAGUACGUGAAAUUGUCAAAAGGGAAGCGUUUGACACCAGUGUUGUUUUUCUGAAAAUCAAUUAAAGAACUGUUUAUGCUAAGCUGUUUAGACUUUAUCAGCUAUCUGUUUAGUUUUAGGCUUUUCUUUAAUGCACUUUUCAGUUAACAAGUCAACAUCAAUUUCUUUUGCUGUAAAAAAGCUUGAGGAAGGUGGCUUGAGAUUCGUCUUAAGUGUUUAUAGCCUCUUGCCUAUGCAGUCGGUGAGAUUGAGGUCUGCAGCGUAGAUCCUUCGGGGCUAAAUGCAUUUGUGCUAAGUUAUAGCAUUUUAUAGACAACUUGUUGACUAUGAUUUGUCUUGUAGCUUACUCGCUUAUGUUAUUUUACCUACGCUUAGGAUGUUGAGUAGCGACAUACGCAC
rnacentral:rRNA from 1 species